rnacentral:rRNA from 1 species
UUAGCCAAGCGAUGGGGUGACGCAGGAAGGUAGCUGGGCCAGUCAGUGGUUGUACUGUAAGAGUGUAGGCCGUGACAUAGGCAAAUCCGUGUCACAUUAAGGCUGAGACUUGAUGCAUACCCGUUGUGGGGAAUUCAGUGAUCCUAUGCUGCCGAGAAAAGCCUCUAGUGAGUUCAUACACGGCCCGUACCCCAAACCGACACAGGUGAUCAGGUAGAGAAUACCAAGGCGAUCGAGAGAACUGUGGUUAAGGAACUCGGCAAAAUGCCCCCGUAACUUCGGGAGAAGGGGGACCAUGCCCGGUGAACAUCUUCACGGUGGGAGCUGGGUGUGGUCGCAGAGACCAGAGAGAAGCGACUGUUUACUAAAAACACAGGUCCGUGCGAAGACGUAAGUCGAUGUAUACGGACUGACGCCUGCCCGGUGCUGGAAGGUUAAGAGGACCGGUUAGCCGUAAGGCGAAGCUGAGAAUUUAAGCCCCAGUAAACGGCGGUGGUAACUAUAACCAUCCUAAGGUAGCGAAAUUCCUUGUCGGGUAAGUUCCGACCUGCACGAAUGGCGUAACGACUUCUCUGCUGUCUCGACCACAGACUCGGCGAAAUUGCACUACGAGUAAAGAUGCUCGUUACGCGCGGCAGGACGAAAAGACCCCGGGACCUUUACUAUAGCUUGGUAUUGGCGUUCGAUUCGGUUUGUGUAGGAUAGGUGGGAGACUGUGAAGCAUGCACGCCAGUGUGUGUGGAGUCGUUGUUGAAAUACCACUCUGAUCGUAUUGGACGUCUAACCUCGGCCCAUGAUCUGGGUUAGGGACAGUGCCUGGUGGGUAGUUUAACUGGGGCGGUUGCCUCCUAAAGAGUAACGGAGGCGCCCAAAGGUUCCCUCAGCCUGGAUGGCAAUCAGGUGUUGAGUGCAAGUGCACAAGGGAGCUUGACUGUGAGACUGACACGUCGAGCAGGGACGAAAGUCGGGACUAGUGAUCCGGCACCGGCAAGUGGAAGCGGUGUCGCUCAACGGAUAAAAGGUACCCCGGGGAUAACAGGCUGAUCUUCCCCAAGAGUCCAUAUCGACGGGAUGGUUUGGCACCUCGAUGUCGGCUCGUCGCAUCCUGGGGCUGGAGUAGGUCCCAAGGGUUGGGCUGUUCGCCCAUUAAAGCGGCACGCGAGCUGGGUUUAGAACGUCGUGAGACAGUUCGGUCUCUAUCCGCCGCGCGCGUAAGAAACUUGAGGAAGGCUGUCCCUAGUACGAGAGGACCGGGACGGACGAACCUCUGGUGUGCCAGUUGUUCCACCAGGAGCAUGGCUGGUUAGCUACGUUCGGAAGGGAUAACCGCUGAAAGCAUCUAAGCGGGAAGCCUGUUCCAAGAUGAGGUUUCUCACCACCUUGCGUGGUUAAGGCCCCCUACAGACCAUGGGGUUGAUAGGCCGGAACUGGAAGCGCAGCAAUGCGUGGAGGUGACCGGUACUAAUAGGCCGAGGGCGU